AAUUACAAUCAAAUUGCUAAGCAGAGUCAGGCCUGGAUAGUACUUGGAUAGGAGACCACCUAGGAAUACCAGGUGCUGUAGGCG
rnacentral:rRNA from 1 species